rnacentral:sRNA from 1 species
GCCAGGCACAGUGGCACAUGCCUGUAAUCCCAGGGACUCAGGAGGCUGAGGCAGGAGGAUUACAAGUAAGUUGCUUCAAGCAACUUAGCAAGACUCUUAAGUAACUUUGUGAGACCCUGUGUCCA